rnacentral:rRNA from 1 species
UGCCUCAGUAACGGCGAGUGAAGCGGCAACAGCUCAAAUUUGAAAUCUGGCCCCAGGCCCGAGUUGUAAUUUGCAGAGGAUGCUUUUGGUGCGGUGCCUUCCAAGUUCCCUAGAACGGGACGCCAGAGAGGGUGAGAGCCCCGUACAGUUGGACACCAAGCCUUUGUAAAGCUCCUUCGACGAGUCGAGUAGUUUGGGAAUGCUGCUCAAAAUGGGAGGUAUAUUUCUUCUAAAGCUAAAUACCGGCCAGAGACCGAUAGCGCACAAGUAGAGUGAUCGAAAGAUGAAAAGCACUUUGAAAAGAGGGUUAAACAGCACGUGAAAUUGUUAAAAGGGAAGCGCUUGUGACCAGACUUGCGUCCGGUGAAUCACCCAGCUCUCGCGGCUGGGGCACUUCGCCGGCUCAGGCCAGCAUCAGCUCGCUGUCGGGGACAAAAGCUUCAGGAACGUAGCUCUCUUCGGGGAGUGUUAUAGCCUGUUGCACAAUACCCUUCGGCGGGCUGAGGUACGCGCUCCGCAAGGAUGCUGGCAUAAUGGUCAUCAGCGACCCGUCUUGAAACACGGACCAAGGAGUCAACCUUAUGUGCGAGUGUUCGGGUGUCAAACCCCUACGCGUAAUGAAAGUGAACGCAGGUGAGAGCUUCGGCGCAUCAUCGACCGAUCCUGAUGUUCUCGGAUGGAUUUGAGUAAGAGCAUAUAGGGUUGGACCCGAAAGAAGGUGAACUAUGCGUGUAUAGGGUGAAGCCAGAGGAAACUCUGGUGGAGGCUCGCAGCGGUUCUGACGUGCAAAUCGAUCGUCAAAUAUGCGCAUGGGGGCGAAAGACU